AGAUCCUCUUUUCAUUUCCUAGAAGCAAGAAGGGAGCCAGAAGCCCAGUUCUCAGGAGAUGAGGCUACCAGGAGAGAACAGAGAAGAAAAGACACUCUGAAAAAGGAAAAGAUGAGAGUUCUUAUGGAAAAAUGUGCCUUGGGAAAAAUUACAAUACUACAGCAAGGAGCCAUGAGACAAGCUCAGAGUGUGAGAUGCACAGUUUUUCCAGAGUUCCAACACCUGGAGCAGAAUUAUCACUGUCCAGAUGAUGACCAAAACAAGAAUAAUCCAGCACUGUAAAGGAAAUUUUCAAGGGACAGGGUCUUGCUGUAUCACCCAAGGUGGAGUGCAUUGGCAUAAUCAUGGCUCACUGCAG
rnacentral:lncRNA from 10 species